AAGAUUCUAUAAAAAAUAGUGAUAUAGCACUAAAAUUUUCGAAAUUAGAUAUAUUGAUCCUAUUGUAGAUAGUAUAUAAAGAAUUUUGUAUCAAAAUUUCAUUUUAUUUGAAUACUUCUACACCGUCAAACUUGAAAACGACAGAUAUCAACCAUUAAAAAUUAUUGAUUUUGAACCCUUUCGAUCACUAAGUAAAUGAUAUCAAAAAAUAACAAAAAUUAUUUUCUAGAAACUUAUAAUACGCUAGAUAAAGUCUAACGGAGCCGAUCGUCGAUUCGAAAAUUCUAUCAUAAAAAAUGACACAGGAGCACGGAAGCCUAUGUGCUUUUAAGAGCACAAAAGUCCUGCUCUCUCUCUCUCUCUCUCUC
rnacentral:lncRNA from 1 species